GUUGAACGCUGGCGGCAUGCUUUACACAUGCAAGUCGAGCGGCAGCGCGGGGGCAACCCUGGCGGCGAGCGGCGAACGGGUGAGUAAUGCAUCGGAACGUACCCUGGAGUGGGGGAUAACGCCGCGAAAGCGGCGCUAAUACCGCAUAUGCUCUGAGGAGGAAAGUGGGGGACCGCAAGGCCUCACGCUCUGGGAGCGGCCGAUGUCCGAUUAGCUAGUUGGUGGGGUAAAGGCUUACCAAGGCGACGAUCGGUAGCUGGUCUGAGAGGAUGAUCAGCCACACUGGGACUGAGACACGGCCCAGACUCCUACGGGAGGCAGCAGUGGGGAAUUUUGGACAAUGGGGGCAACCCUGAUCCAGCCAUGCCGCGUGAGUGAAGAAGG
rnacentral:rRNA from 1 species